CUCCUCCACUCCAACUGUGUGGGGAAACCUGGGUAGAACUUAAAGUUACAAAAGUCAUUGUGCAAGCCCUGCUGUCCCCACAAGGGCUUAUAGGAAGGGGUUCGGAGCUUUUCAAGGAGGCAGGGGAAAAUUAAACUCGUGUCUCUUAAUGUGUAUUUGGUGGGAGGGGAAUGCUGCCUGAAAUAAUGCAUUGCUUCGGCGGCGGUCAGAGAUCCAUGUGACGCGGGGGCACUUUAGGGACCAUUGCUGAGGGCCUGGUUAGCAUUUGGGCAGCUGAAUCCUUCCCUUGGCGAACUCCAUACGUGCCCUCGGCGACACACAGAGGACUCCCAGAGUUGAAGAAGGGGGUGGAUGUGUGUGUGCGCACUCGCCCACGUCUCGUGUUUUACUUUUCAUUUAAGUCGUAAUAAGGAGAAAUUCGAUGACCAGCAAGGCUGGAGUCCCAUCGUCUUGUUGGGGGAGAGGGGGGAGAAGAAAAAGGUGCCUGUAACUUCAGACUGUCCAAGAUAUCGCUUAGCUCCUGCGCCCGGAAGAAAAUCCAGCGCAGGUCGGGUUCCGGCGCGCGGAAGCCCUGCGAACCCCAAAUGUGUGCGCUGAGCCGAGGCCUCUAAGCGGUAGGAGAGAAUCUGACCUCCGACAUUCUUUUCAAGACACGCGCCGGUGGACCGGGUCCUGGGAUUGGCUUACUCCCGGGCUGGACCUUGGGGUUCGCAUAUUUGAAAGCGUAAACUUGAGGAAUGACGGCGGGGUGAUGGGUAUUUUAUAGAGUGGGACUCAAUCGUGCUCAGCAACAGAUUUCUCCAAAUUCCCUUUUAAAAAGAGCCUCCCAGAGCUGUCGAAAUCUCCGCGGGGUGAAAGCUAAACUUUUGGAGUCGCUGUGUAGCCGGGUAGAGGACACGGCGGCGCGAGCCGGAAAGGCAGGUUUAAUUCGGAAAGAAGAGACUGCAGAGGAGAGGGAAGACCGUGAGUCUGCUUUCACCUAGGUUUAAAGCGAAUCAAAGACGGCUGUAAAAAGGGAAACCGGGACCAAAAACAGAUUUGGAGCCUCGAAACUCUCCAUUGAAGGUUUGGAAGAUACGUUGCUGCAGACUUGAAACCGGCUCCAAAUCCGGCCCAAACAUGGGCUGAAAAUAUGGCGCGCUAAUCUGCUGCUUCCCCUCCUCCUCAAGUUCUUUCUGACUCUUCCCACCUUUCCCAGUUUCCCUUCCAGACGUCUGCGGCUCCCCACUCCACCCCCAGGAUAGCUACUCUACAUCCCGACAAUUCCCAGCUUCUACACCCAGGAGGAGGAAUUCUGGAACCACCCAGAGCGAACUCGUGCCGGGGCGGGGUGGGGACCGGAGGAAGGUCCUGCUCCGAAUUCUCUCCAGAGCAGAAAAGAAUUCUAGAGGCUACAUGUGGGCUGCUUUCCCCCCUUCUUCCUUUUUUCCCUCGCAAACCAACAACCAAAAAGUGUUUGGUGAUGGAAAGAACACCAGUGGAAAACGGCAAAUAACAGUAUUUCCAACUCCGA
rnacentral:lncRNA from 1 species